UGAAUGUCCACCAUCUCCAUCCUGAU
rnacentral:piRNA from 1 species